rnacentral:rRNA from 1 species
GACGAACGCUGGCGGCGUGCUUAACACAUGCCAGUCGAACGGAAAGGCCCUGCUUUUGUGGGGUGCUCGAGUGGCGAACGGGUGAGUAACACGUGAGUAACCUGCCCUUGACUUUGGGAUAACUUCAGGAAACUGGGGCUAAUACCGGAUAGGAGCUCCUGCUGCAUGGUGGGGGUUGGAAAGUUUCGGCGGUUGGGGAUGGACUCGCGGCUUAUCAGCUUGUUGGUCGGGUAGUGGCUUACCAAGGCUUUGACGGGUAGCCGGCCUGGGAGGGUGGCCGGCCACCUUGGGCCUGCGGUACGGCCCAGACGCCUACGGUGGGCAGCGGUGGGGAACAUUGCCCAAUGGGCGGGAGCCUGAUGAAGCGACGCCGCGUGCGUGAUGACGGCCUUCGGGUUGUAAACCGCUUUCGCCUGUGACGAAGCGUGAGUGACGGUAAUGGGUGAAGAAGCACCGGCUAACUACGUG